UGCCAGCAGCCGCGGUAAUACGGAGGGGGUUAGCGUUGUUCGGAAUUACUGGGCGUAAAGCGCACGUAGGCGGACUAGUAAGUAAGAGGUGAAAUCCCAGGGCUCAACCCUGGAACUGCCUUUUAAACUGCUAAUCUAGAGAUCGAGAGAGGUGAGUGGAAUUCCGAGUGUAGAGGUGAAAUUCGUAGAUAUUCGGAGGAACACCAGUGGCGAAGGCGGCUUUCUGGACCGAUACUGACGCUGAGACGCGAAAGCGUGGGGAGCAAACAGGAUUAGAUA
rnacentral:rRNA from 1 species